rnacentral:rRNA from 1 species
GACGAACGCUGGCGGCGUGCUUAACACAUGCAAGUCGAACGGAAAGGCCCUGCUUUUGUGGGGUGCUCGUGUGGCGAACGGGUGAGUAACACGUGAGUAACCUGCCCCUGACUUUGGGAUAACAUCAGGAAACUGGGGCUAAUACCGGAUAGAAGCUCCUGCUGCAUGGUGGGGGUUGGAAAGUUUCGGCGGUUGGGGAUGGACUGGCGGCUUAUCAGCUUGUUGGUGGGGUAGUGGCUUACCAAGGCUUUGACGGCUAGCCGGCCUGAGCGGUUGACCGGCCACAUUGGUACUGCGGUACGGACCAGAAGCCUACGGGAGGCAGCGGGGGAGAGUAUUGCGCAAUGGGCGGAAGUCUGAUGCGACGGCGCCGCGUGCGUGAUGCCGGCUUAUGGGGUGUGAACCGCUUUCGCCUGAGACGAAGCGUUAGUGACGGUAAUGGGUAAAGAAGCACCGGCUAACUACGUG